rnacentral:misc_RNA from 1 species
GUGUGUAUAUUUGUGUGUUUUAUAUGUAAGACCAAGAUUAAACAAGAGAUUGGAUGGGCGCGUGUGGUGUUGGUGGAAUAGAAUAAGCUAUCCCACCAACAUACUACACACGCCUAGCGUGGACAGAAACAGUUCACACAAGAUUGGUUGGGGGGCACUAGACUAGCAGCAGCAAGCCACUACUAACCCACCCCCCGAAUCAGUGAUGAUCCUUCCGCAGGUUCACCUACGGAAA